AAUCUAUCAAAUGUAUUUAUAACAUUUUGGGGCGUAUUUUUAAACGCAGUGUAAUUCAUAACAAAAAAGAACUUAACACUUUUAUAUGACUUUGUGUUGUAUCCAAGUUAUUUUAUUUUUAAACUGUUAUUAGCCAGACGGUUUUAAACGCUGGAAGGAAUAAACACAAUUGUUCGGGUCAGCAGACAUUUGGAGGUAAAUUAGAUUAUGAAAACCAAUUUCAUUUGAGGGAUCAAGGCAC
rnacentral:lncRNA from 1 species